rnacentral:rRNA from 1 species
CGGUCCUUAAUGAUUGUUCACUCGAACGCCUUGGUAUUCUCUACUUGCUUAMCUGGUGAUAGUAUUUAGGUACGGKUGUAUYGACAUGGUGAAAAGCCUUAUAUUCACCCAUGCCGAGUUUACAGUUUUCCAGAACAUUUAUCACUUUAACACAUAUUAUUACUAACUAUGUACAAAUGUUAUUUGUCAGUAAACUCUCUAGAUUUGCUCAUCGUUUAGUCCUUUGGGUAAUAAACUUAGAGGCCGUUACUUUAAAUAAAUACCAUAAGCUUUAGGCGAGGGUAUAUCCCUUUAUCGUUACUCAUGUCAGCAUUCUCACUUGGGUUGUUUAAUAUUAAGUCUUAAAAAGAAAAAAUCUGAUAUUUCCCCAAUGUUCCGCUACCCCAUAAAUACAAUAUAUAACCUGGAUAUAUAAAUAAAUAUGGACAAGGUCUCGGUAUAUUGUUUAGAUCCGUUAAAUUUUCGGUGCUUUUAUCCAAAUAAACUCAGACAAAUUUAGUCUAACUUUAUUUUUUUUUAACCAGUGCUCUGUUACGAGGUCUUAAAAAAAUGGCCGCUUCUAAGCCUAUUUCCUGGGCAUUUAGGAGAAAAACUGCCUUAAUUUCACUUAACAAAAAUUUAGGAACCUUAUUAACUCUUGUUCUGGGCUGUUUCCCUUUAGACAUACAACCUUAUCGUACUAUGUCCGAUUAUUCAAUAUUCAUCAUAACCCUUCCGAGAACAAAUACUCACUGAUAGAAUCUUCACGACCCCCCAAUGUCUACAAAAAGCAUAUUAUUUAAAUAAUAUAUMCAAGGUUGUAUGAGAUCACAAUUCUGUACCUGCUAUGAUGUUAUUUAA